rnacentral:rRNA from 1 species
UACGUAGGUGGCAAACGUUGUCCGGAAUUAUUGGGCGUAAAGCGCGCGCAGGCGGCCUCUUAAGUCUGAUGUGAAAGCCCCCGGCUCAACCGGGGAGGGCCAUUGGGAACUGGGAGGCUUGAGUAUAGGAGAGAAGAGUGGAAUUCCACGUGUAGCGGUGAAAUGCGUAGAGAUGUGGAGGAACACCAGUGGCGAAGGCGACUCUUUGGCCUAUAACUGACGCUGAGGCGCGAAGCGUGGGGAGCAAACAGG